UGUGAAAUAGAUUCAAUAAUUUAAAAACUUUAUUAACUUUUUAUAGAAGUGUUAAUAGCGAUAACACAGAAGGCGAGUUGAUAUUAAUAACACUUGAUCUUUUGAGUGUUAGCACUUGAAAAUAUAUAUGAAGAAGAUUGAAUGGGCUUAAAUGUGUGCUAUCAGUAUACUACCGUUAAAGUAAACAAAAGAAUACUAACGAAGGGACUUAUUUGAGGCAAACUAAAAUAUAUGAUUGAUAUUAUUUAAUUUGUUUAUAAUAAUAAGUUGUUUGAAAUACGAAAAAAGUGCUGCAUGAUUUUUUAUAAUUAUAAUUUUUUUUUC
rnacentral:lncRNA from 1 species